GGGGCUGAUUCUGGAUUCGACGGGAUUUGCGAAACCCAAGGUGCAUGCCGAGGGGCGGUUGGCCUCGUAAAAAGCCGCAAAAAAUAGUCGCAAACGACGAAAACUACGCUUUAGCAGCUUAAUAACCUGCUUAGAGCCCUCUCUCCCUAGCCUCCGUUCUUAGGACGGGGAUCAAGAGAGGUCAAACCCAAAAGAGAUCGCGUGGAAGCCCUGCCUGGGGUUGAAGCGUUAAAACUUAAUCAGGCUAGUUUGUUAGUGGCGUGUCCGUCCGCAGCUGGCAAGCGAAUGUAAAGACUGACUAAGCAUGUAGUACCGAGGAUGUAGGAAUUUCGGACGCGGGUUCAACUCCCGCCAGCUCCACCA
rnacentral:tmRNA from 1 species